GACGGAGGGCGCAAGCGUUGUCCGGAAUUACUGGGCGUAAAGCGCGCGCAGGCGGAUGAGGCAAGUCGGAAGUGAAAUACCGGGGCUCAACCCCGGGGCUGCUUCCGAUACUCUCUGUCUAGGGACCGGUAGAGGCCGGUGGAAUUCCCGGUGUAGCGGUGGAAUGCGUAGAUAUCGGGAGGAACACCAGUGGCGAAGGCGGCCACCUGGACGGUGACUGACGCUGAGGCUCGAAAGCUGGGGGAGCAAACAGG
rnacentral:rRNA from 1 species